UCCUUGGUGGUCCAGUGGUUAAGACUCCAUGCUUCCAGUGCAGGGGCCCCAGGUUUGAUCCCUGGCCAGGGAA